rnacentral:rRNA from 1 species
UACGGGGGAGCAAGCGUUGUUCGGAUUUACUGGGCGUAAAGGCGGGUAGGCGGCCACCGCAAGUCAGUUGUGAAAUCUCUGGGCUUAACCCAGAAAGGUCAACUGAUACUGCGGGCUAGAGUGCAGAAGGGCAACUGGAAUUCUCGGUGUAGCGGUGAAAUGCGUAGAUAUCGAGAGGAACACCUGCGGCGAAGGCGGUUGCUGGGCUGACACUGACGCUGAUGCGCGAAAGCUAGGGGAGCGAACGGG